rnacentral:rRNA from 1 species
UACGUAGGGUGCAAGCGUUAAUCGGAAUUACUGGGCGUAAAGCGUGCGCAGGCGGUUGUGCAAGACCGAUGUGAAAUCCCCGGGCUUAACCUGGGAAUGGCAUUGGUGACUGCACGGCUAGAGUGUGUCAGAGGGGGGGUAGAAUUCCACGUGUAGCAGUGAAAUGCGUAGAGAUGUGGAGGAAUACCGAUGGCGAAGGCACUCUACUGGGCCAUUACUGACACUGAGAGACGAAAGCUAGGGGAGCAAAUGGG